rnacentral:rRNA from 1 species
AGUGAACGCUGGCGGUAGGCCUAACACAUGCAAGUCGAACGGCAGCACAGUAAGAGCUUGCUCUUACGGGUGGCGAGUGGCGGACGGGUGAGGAAUACAUCGGAAUCUACUUUUUCGUGGGGGAUAACGUAGGGAAACUUACGCUAAUACCGCAUACGACCUACGGGUGAAAGCAGGGGAUCUUCGGACCUUGCGCGAUUGAAUGAGCCGAUGUCGGAUUAGCUAGUUGGCGGGGUAAAGGCCCACCAAGGCGACGAUCCGUAGCUGGUCUGAGAGGAUGAUCAGCCACACUGGAACUGAGACACGGUCCAGACUCCUACGGGAGGCGGCAGUGGGGAAUAUUGGACAAUGGGCGCAAGCCUGAUCCAGCCAUACCGCGUGUGUGAAGAAGGCCUUCGGGUUGUAAAGCCCUUUUGUUGGGAAAGAAAAGCAGCAGGUUAAUACCCCGCUGUUCUGACGGUACCCAAAGAAUAAGCACCGGCUAACUUCGUG